AUACAGAGUACAUUUCCUGUUUCCAGUGUUUUAUCCAGGCAUUUAUUUGUUUUGAAGUCACGUGAUCUUCUAUCAUCAAUGAGACGUAUGUCGCGUCAUGCGCCGAUAAAGCUUCGGAAGGGCGCACAAUCACAAGUAUCAUGGGGAAGCUGGUGACCCUUCCUUACCAUCCAAAGCAAGGACGACCAUAAGAGAGAGAAAAACCUUUCAAGGACCUUCUGAUAACUGAAGUUAUGAUUGAAGCUGCUACAAACCGGUGCUGGCCGAAGGCAGAAUUGAAGCAGGUCUAGUUGAAAGCGGCUUCGUGGCUUGCACAAGCCCAAUCCAAGUUGGACAAAAUGAAUCAGCCAUCAACACCAGCUACAAUAACAAUAAUCGACAUCGAUUGUGAAGAUGAACCUCUCGAAUAGAUAAUAAUAUAAUAGUAGUGACAGAAAAGAUCAUAAAACGUGUCUACAUGUUCAAUUUACUGAUAUCAUAAACAAUAAAUUAGUAAUUGAUUAUAA